rnacentral:lncRNA from 1 species
UUCCCCCUGGCAAUCCACUAUUGAAUCCACCCUUUUGAACAGUAACUGCCUUAAAUGAAUAGUAACUGCCAUUAAUGAACAGUAAUUGCCAUUUGCAUCUCCACCCUUGGAGCCCUCCCCCAGGCAAUAAGCAAUUAAAAUAAUAGUUUUUUUUGUUUGUUUAAAUAAUAAAAAAUUACAAAAGCUCUCUCUCUCUCUCUCUCUCUCUCUGACACAAAAAAAAUAAAAAAUUGCAAAGCCCUCGGGCCACAGGCCCGUCGACUCCCCACCCCACCUUCGCUCGGGCUCCCACCGUCGCUCGGCCUCCACACGGCUGGACCUCUCUCCACCGGCCCUCGGGCCCUUUGUCCUCGCCUGUCGCCCGAGCAACCAGCCUCCACUGGAGUUGCUCU